GUUGCAGUGGUAAGUGGAAGUGUUUCCUUAAUUUCUUAGAAGAGGUAUAUUUUUAAUGGAAACCUUCAAUGACAACAAUAAUUAGCUAUUCCAUAGCUAAUGGUCAGGCUGGUGGGGGGAGAUGCUUUGAAUAGGAAGCAUCUAUAGGGCCUCUCAUGCCCCAGCUCUGCUGUGCAACUACGAUCUUGUGUUUCACGGUGUUAUGUAUCUUGACUUAGAUUUACAUCUUCAUUUGUUUGUUUAAUGCCAGGCUCCCCAACUAGUCUGUGAGCUCCACUGGGGUGGGGGCUCGGUCUGUUUUGUUCACUGCUAAAUGCCCAGAGCUUAGCACAGUGCCUGGCACACAGGAGCACUCUGAUGAAUGCUGGGGAGAAAAACCUCUAGAGUGACAUUCGGUGAAGCGAGUGGAGACUGGGAAGCAGAGCCUACGACACUGGCACUGUCUAGUCAGAGAGGAUGCAGUCUCAUGAUUCUCAGAGCCUGAGCCCCUGGUUCACCUGAAGUCUUAAGCUGGAGUCCCUUCCUCCUUUUUGAAGAGAGCAUCGCUCACUGUCUCCUCGCCCCCUUCCACUGGGGCCCAGCCAAGCCUCCAAAAGGCCCCAGGCAGCACAGUUUGAAAACAACUGAUUCAAUCCCUUCAUUUUACAGAGAAAGAAACCCAUGGAAAGUGGAGAAACGUGGAAAGGUGACAAAGAUAAAUGGGAUUAAUAGAUGAGCCGCAGAUGUAUCUGUAGAGCGAAGACUACACCCAGAGAUAACCAGUCUUGUGGCUUUGGAGGUAGGAGGAGACGGUAGGGCAGUUGGCAGAGGCUGCGAGGAAGCACGGCAGCGGGUACUGCGUCAACAGUGAGAACCGCAGAUUAGAGGCCCAGAGCCCUGCCUGAGCGCUGCAGUUUCAAGGAGGGGACUUCCGUAUCCGAUGCCGGAAGCUGGGCAGGGCUGAUUAUGGAGCGGAGCAGGGAGCAUCUGAUCCUCUACGAUCACCACCUGGGCAGCGUCAACGUGACGGCAUCAGAGCUGCCAGGGAGGGAGCCGCGCGGAGGGAGAGUCCAGGAUAAGGUGAAGGUGGAAGGCAUUGUCUCUGCUCUCCUGUCAGCUGUCACUUUUUACAGCCAUCAACAUACCUGGUGGAUUUCCUCCUUAUGGGGGCCGGGGCUGGAGGAAAGGUGUUGGGGACUGCUGAGGGCUGAACCGAGACAUUGCAACCUACGCAUCCCCCUGCUGACUCUGUACCUGGCCACCUCCUGGAGUCCAGGGGCUGCCAUUUUCUCUUGAAUAAUGGUUACCACACAGGGCUGGCAUGAAGUGAAGAUAGCAGCUUUCAACCUUGCCACCAUGGCUUCCAUGUAAGUAUAAGCCCAUCACUUAAUUUCCCACAACACAGCUACCUAAGACCAGGUCAUUUAAAAUCUUGAAGGAAGCAAGGGAAAUGACAUUAGAGAAAACCUUAUGAAUGGAUGGAUACUGGACUGAAGGAUUCCAGAGUCAUACCCAGAUCAUCCCAGACAGGUCCCCAACUGGAUGCUACCUGACCAGCCUGCAAAAGGCUCUCACCUGCCUCGUUCCCACCACCUGGAGGACGGUCAGUCCUCUGCCGUCUGGGAAGUGCAGAGGCCCAGCGCUUGUCUCAGGCCUGCUCCCUCCCUCUCCUCCAGCCUUCAUUUCCUGGGGCUCCUUUUCGCCCCCCAGCACCCCAGGAUGACUGACAGAUGGGAAUAUCCACACAGAGGCUCACCCACUACCCACAGGGGUUGGCCUUUUCAGAAUACUUGAAAGACAAUCUCUCAACAACUCGGUUCCCUAAGUCUGAGGUAUUUGGUUUGGAAAAUCACCUUGAGGGAGGCUUUCACCAAGAAUCCAAGCUGGCUGUAGCCACUGGGUCCACCUUUGUGGUUCCCUGUGAACAAGAAAUGAAGUAAGGCUUCCAGUGAUCUACUUGAUCUGGCCCAGUCUCCAUCAUGAAAUGUCUUAUGACAAAUGAUGAACAACAACACAUAUGACACAAUUCCCAGGAAUAAAAAAUACUUUUUUAGAGAUAAGAGUGCUAUGGUCUGAAUGGUUGUGUUCUCCCUGCAAACUCAUAUGUUGAAGUCCUAAUCCUGAAGGUGACAGUAUUAGGAGGUAGGGCCUUUGGGAAGUGAUUAAGUCAUGAAGGUGCAGCCUUCAUGGCUGGGAUUAGUGCCCUUAUAAAAGAGACCCCAUAGAGCUAGCUCACCCCUUCUGCCAUGUGGGGACAUGGUGAGAAUGUACCAUCUAAGAAGCAGGAAGCCCUCAUUGAACACCAAAUCUGCCUGCACCGAUCCUGGACCUCCACCCUCCAGAACUGUGAGACAUAAAUUUCUGUUUUUCUUAAGCUACUUAGUCUGUGAUAUUUUGUUACAGCAACUCAAAUGGACUAAGAUAGAGUAUUCUAAAUACAUAAUGGCAAAGAAACAUUUUUUUCCUAAAAGACAGCAAAAAAUAUUAUGAAACAGGAGUAAUUAAAAGAGGAAUUGGUCAAAAAAUGGACAGAAGACCUAAAUAGACAUUUCUCCAAAGAAGACAUACAGGUGGCCAACAGGCACAUG